AUUGAACGCUGGCGGCAGGCUUAACACAUGCAAGUCGAGCGGGGUGAUGGUGCUUGCACUAUCACUUAGCGGCGGACGGGUGAGUAAUGCUUAGGAAUCUGCCUAUUAGUGGGGGACAACAUCUCGAAGGGGAUGCUAAUACCGCAUACGUCCUACGGGAGAAAGCAGGGGAUCACUUGUGACCUUGCGCUAAUAGAUGAGCCUAAGUCGGAUUAGCUAGUUGGUGGGGUAAAGACCUACCAAGGCGACGGUCUGUAGCGGGUCUGAGAGGAUGAUCCGCCACACUGGGACUGAGACACGGCCCAGACUCCUACGGGAGGCAGCAGUGGGGAAUAUUGGACAAUGGGGGGAACCCUGAUCCAGCCAUGCCGCGUGUGUGAAGAAGGCCUUAUGGUUGUAAAGCACUUUAAGCGAGGAGGAGGCUCUUUUGGUUAAUACCCAAGAUGAGUGGACGUUACUCGCAGAAUAAGCACCGGCUAACUCUGUGCCAGCCGCCGCAGUAA
rnacentral:rRNA from 1 species